GUAGGUGGCAAGCGUUGUCCGGAAUUAUUGGGCGUAAAGCGCGCGCAGGCGGUUCUUUAAGUCUGAUGUGAAAGCCCACGGCUCAACCGUGGAGGGUCAUUGGAAACUGGAGAACUUGAGUACAGAAGAGGAAAGCGGAAUUCCACGUGUAGCGGUGAAAUGCGUAGAGAUGUGAAGGAACACCAGUGGCGAAGGCGGCUUUCUGGUCUGUAACUGACGCUGAGGCGCGAAAGCGUGGGGGAGCAAACAGGAUUAGAUACCCUGGUAGUCCACGCCGUAAACGAUGAGUGCUAAGUGUUGGGGGGUUUCCGCCCCUUAGUGCUGCAGCUAACGCAUUAAGCACUCCGCCUGGGAGUACGGCCGCAAGGCUG
rnacentral:rRNA from 1 species